GCUUUCUUAGCUCAACUGGUAGAGAACGUGGCUUUUAACCAUGUGGUCGUUGGUUCUAUUCCCACAAACGACA
rnacentral:tRNA from 1 species